GACGAACGCUGGCGGCGUGCCUAAUACAUGCAAGUAGAACGCUGAAGCGAGGAGCUUGCUCUUCUUGGAUGAGUUGCGAACGGGUGAGUAACGCGUAGGUAACCUGCCUUGUAGCGGGGGAUAACUAUUGGAAACGAUAGCUAAUACCGCAUAACAAUGGAUGACACAUGUCAUUUAUUUGAAAGUGGCAAUUGCUCCACUACAAGAUGGACCUGCGUUGUAUUAACUAGUAGGUGAGGUAAUGGCUCACCUAGGCGACGAUACAUAGCCGACCUGAGAGGGUGAUCGGCCACACUGGGACUGAGACACGGCCCAGACUGCUACGGGAGGCAGCAGUAGGGAAUCUUCGGCAAAGGGGGCAAACCUGACCGAGCAACGCCGCGUGAGUGAAGAAGGUUGUCGGAUCGUAAAGCUCUGUUGUAAGUCAAGAACGGGUGUGAGAGUGGAAAGUUCACACUGUGACGGUAGCUUACCAGAAAGGGACGGCUAACUACGUG
rnacentral:rRNA from 1 species